UGCGGGGUGGAGCAGUUCGGUAGCUCGUCGGGCUCAUAACCCGAAGGUCACAGGUUCAAAUCCUGUCCCCGCUACCA
rnacentral:tRNA from 2 species